AUGAACGCUGGCGGCGUGCCUAACACAUGCAAGUCGAGCGAUUUACUUCGGUAAAGAGCGGCGGACGGGUGAGUAACGCGUGGGUAACCUGCCCUGUACACACGGAUAACAUACCGAAAGGUAUGCUAAUACGAGAUAAUAUGCUUUUAUCGCAUGGUAGCAGUAUCAAAGCUUUUGCGGUACAGGAUGGACCCGCGUCUGAUUAGCUAGUUGGUGAGGUAACGGCUCACCAAGGCGACGAUCAGUAGCCGACCUGAGAGGGUGAUCGGCCACAUUGGAACGGAGGCACGGUCCAAACUCGUACGGGAGGCAGCGGUGGGGAAUAUUGCACAAUGGGCGAAAGCCUGAUGCAGCAACGCCGCGUGAACGAUGAAGGCCUUCGGGUCGUAAAGCUCUGUCCUCAAGGAAGAGAAUGACGGUACUUGAGGAGGAAGCCCCGGCUAACUACGUG
rnacentral:rRNA from 1 species